UACGGGGGGAGCAAGCGUUGUUCGGAUUUACUGGGCGUAAAGGGCGCGUAGGCGGCCAGCACAAGUCAGUUGUGAAAUCUCCGGGCUUAACUCGGAAAGGUCAACUGAUACUGUGCGGCUAGAGUGCAGAAGGGGCAACUGGAAUUCUCGGUGUAGCGGUGAAAUGCGUAGAUAUCGAGAGGAACACCUGCGGCGAAGGCGGCAUCCUGGACUGGUCCUGACACUCAGGAGCGAAAGCGUGGGGAGCGAUCCGG
rnacentral:rRNA from 1 species